rnacentral:rRNA from 1 species
CAGCCGCCGCGGUAAUACGUAGGUGGCAAGCGUUGUCCGGAAUCAUUGGGCGUAAAGGGCUCGCAGGCGGAUUCUUAAGUCUGAUGUGAAAGCCCCCGGCUCAACCGGGGAGGGUCAUUGGAAACUGGGAAACUUGAGUGCAGAAGAGGAGAGUGGAAUUCCACGUGUAGCGGUGAAAUGCGUAGAGAUGUGGAGGAACACCAGUGGCGAAGGCGACUCUCUGGGCUGUAACUGACGCUGAGGAGCGAAAGCGUGGGGAGCGAACAGGAUUAGAUACCCCAGUAGUCCCUGUCUCUUAUAA